GGGCGGCCGAUGUCCGAUUAGCUAGUUGGUGGGGUAACGGCUCACCAAGGCGACGAUCGGUAGCUGGUCUGAGAGGAUGAUCAGCCACACUGGGACUGAGACACGGCCCAGACUCCUACGGGAGGCAGCAGUGGGGAAUUUUGGACAAUGGAGGCAACCCUGAUCCAGCCAUGCCGCGUGAGUGAAGAAGGCCUUCGGGUUGUAAAGCUCUUUUGGUCGGAAAGAAAGCCUACUCUUGAAUAAGGGGUGGGGUUGACGGUACCGACAGAAUAAGCACCGGCUAACUACGUGCCAGCAGCCGCGGUAAUACGUAGGGUGCGAGCGUUAAUCGGAAUUACUGGGCGUAAAGGGUGCGUAGGCGGUCUCGCAAGUCCGUUGUGAAAGCCCCGGGCUUAACCUGGGAAUGGCAGUGGAAACUAGGGGACUUGAAUCCGGCAGAGGGGGGUGGAAUUCCACGUGUAGCAGUGAAAUGCGUAGAGAUGUGGAGG
rnacentral:rRNA from 1 species